rnacentral:lncRNA from 1 species
GCGGGAGCAAAUGUGCACAUCUCUGCCUCUUUCCCAGCAGCUGCUCUCGGGAGGACACAGCCCUGCCAUCUCCACAGCCCUCCUCUGGGCCCUCCCCAGCCCCCAGCUCCAGCCUCAGGAAGUGGAGCUGCCGAGAAUCUCUCCUCCAGCCUUGCCUCCCGCCGAGAGUGUCCUCUGCGUGAGCAUUUCCUGGCCUAAUUAAGCUGGGUAAUGAGUAGCUAAGAGGGAGGGGAUAAAAGCCCUAGGCGGCUUAGAGCGGGGACAGUUUAUGACAGGGGCGUCUGCAGCUGGUGACACUCUUUAGGAAAGUUAUUUCUCAUAACCCUGGGAAGUUGCAUGCUGUUGCCACAGCAGAGCGAGCCCCAAGGCUCCAUGCCCAACAUGAGGUUUGAACUCAUGACCCCGAGAUUGAGAGUCGAAUGCUCUACCCACUGCGACAGUCCGAUGACCCUUGACCCUUUCCAGUUUUCUAAAGAAGACCUGUUUCAGGCUACAUCCUCAGAGUCUUGUUGGCUCCAUUGCAUUCUUGGUGGCCAGAACCCAGAGCCCACAGGCACAGGGAAUUUACAGAGACCCUCGUUUCUUCACUCUCUCCCCUCUGCUGGUCUCCUAAUCUCAUCUACCCCCUUGGCCUGCUUCUCUUUCUUUUUAAUCCAGUUUUAUUGAGAUGUAAN